rnacentral:rRNA from 1 species
GGAGUUAGCCGGUGCUUCUUCUGUGAGUGAUGUCCUUCCUGCCGGUUAUUGACCCGCAGGCCUUCUUCCUCACUGAAAGUGCUUUACAACCCGAAGGCCUUCUUCACACACGCGGCAUGGCUGGAUCAGGGUUGCCCCCAUUGUCCAAUAUUCCCCACUGCUGCCUCCCGUAGGAGUCUGGGCCGUGUCUCAGUCCCAGUGUGGCUGAUCAUCCUCUCAGACCAGCUACGGAUCGUCGCCUUGGUGAGCCGUUACCUCACCAACCAGCUAAUCCGACAUAGGCUCAUCCGAUAGCGCGAGGCCCGAAGGUCCCCCGCUUUCCCCCGUAGGGCGUAUGCGGUAUUAGCCUGGGUUUCCCCAGGUUAUCCCCCACUACCGGGCAGAUUCCUAUGCAUUACUCACCCGUCCGCCGCUCGCCACCAGGGAGCAAGCUCCCCGUGCUGCCGCUCGACUUGCAUGUAUUAGGCCUGCCGCCAGCGUUCAAUCUGAGCCAGAAUCGAACCCUGA